rnacentral:rRNA from 1 species
CCUACGGGAGGCUGCAGUGGGGAAUAUUGGACAAUGGGCGAAAGCCUGAUCCAGCCAUGCCGCGUGUGUGAAGAAGGCCUUCGGGUUGUAAAGCACUUUCAGUGGGGAAGAAAGCCUUGGGGCUAAUACCCUCGAGGAAGGACAUCACCCACAGAAGAAGCACCGGCUAACUCCGUGCCAGCAGCCGCGGUAAUACUGAGGGUGCGAGCGUUAAUCGGAAUUACUGGGCGUAAAGCGCGCGUAGGCGGUCUGAUAAGCCGGUUGUGAAAGCCCCGGGCUCAACCUGGGAACGGCAUCCGGAACUGUCAGGCUAGAGUGCAGGAGAGGAAGGUAGAAUUCCCGGUGUAGCGGUGAAAUGCGUAGAGAUCGGGAGGAAUACCAGUGGCGAAGGCGGCCUUCUGGACUGACACUGACGCUGAGGUGCGAAAGCGUGGGUAGCAAACAGGAUUAGAUACCCUUGUAGUC